GUGUAUGACUCAGGAAGAGGGGUCCUCUUGAUAAGUGGAACUAAGUUAGUUAAAUUCUAACCGUGCACUC
rnacentral:tRNA from 1 species